rnacentral:rRNA from 1 species
GUACACGCUGUGACUAGCAUAUCAAUAAGCGGAGGAAAAGGAACUAACAAGGAUUCCCCUAGUAACGGCGAGUGAAGCGGGAAGAGCUCAAAUUUGAAAUCUUAAAGGGUUUCCCUUUACGAAUUGUAGUUUAAAGAAGUGUUUUCUGUUGAGGUUUUGGUAAAAGUUCUUUGGAAUAGGACAUCAUAGAGGGUGAGAAUCCCGUAUUUGACCUUUACUUUCAACUUUGUGAUACACUUUCAAAGAGUCGGAUUGUUUGGGAAUGCAGUCCAAAAUGGGUGGUAAAUUUCAUCUAAAGCUAAAUAUUGGCGAGAGACCGAUAGCGAACAAGUACCGUGAGGGAAAGAUGAAAAGAACUUUGAAAAGAGAGUUAAACAGUACGUGAAAUUGUCAAAAGGGAAGCGUUUGACACCAGUGUUGUUUUUCUGAAAAUCAAUUAAAGAACUGUUUAUGCUAAGCUGUUUAGACUUUAUCAGCUAAUCUGUUUAGUUUUGAGCUUUUCUUUAAUGCACUUUUCAGUUAACAAGUCAACAUCAAUUUCUUUUGCUGUAAAAAGGCUUGAGGAAGGUGGCUUGAGAUUCGUCUUAAGUGUUUAUAGCCUCUUGCCUAUGCAGUCGGAGAGAUUGAGGUCUGCAGCGUAGAUCCUUCGGGGCUAAAUGCAUUUGUGCUAAGUUAUAGCAUUUCAUAGACAACUUGUUGACUAUGAUUUGUCUUGUAGCUUACUCGCUUAUGUUAUUUUACCUACGCUUAGGAUGUUGACGAGACUGUCGAUCUC